UACGUAGGGUGCAAGCGUUGUCCGGAAUUAUUGGGCGUAAAGAGCUCGUAGGCGGUUUGUCGCGUCUGCUGUGAAAACUCGGGGCUUAACUCCGGGCCUGCAGUGGGUACGGGCAGACUAGAGUGCGGUAGGGGAGACUGGAAUUCCUGGUGUAGCGGUGAAAUGCGCAGAUAUCAGGAAGAACACCAAUGGCGAAAGCAGCUUCUGGGACGGUACUGACGCUGAGACGCGAAAGCGUGGGGAGCGAACAGG
rnacentral:rRNA from 1 species